CCUACGGGUGGCAGCAGUGAGGAAUAUUGGUCAAUGGGCGAGAGCCUGAACCAGCCAAGUCGCGUGAAGGAUGAAGGAUCUAUGGUUUGUAAACUUCUUUUAUAUGGGAAUAAAGUGAGGAACGUGUUCCUUUUUGUAUGUACCAUAUGAAUAAGCAUCGGCUAACUCCGUGCCAGCAGCCGCGGUAAUACGGAGGAUGCGAGCGUUAUCCGGAUUUACUGGGUGUAAAGGGCGUGCAGCCGGGAAGUCAAGUCAGAUGUGAAAGCCCGCGGCUCAACCGCGGAAUUGCAGUUGAAACUGUUUGUCUUGAGUACCGGAGAGGUCAUCGGAAUGCGUGGUGUAGCGGUGAAAUGCGUAGAUAUAAGGAAGAACACCAGUGGCGAAGGCAGAUGACUGGACGGCAACUGACGGUGAGGCGCGAAAGCGUGGGGAGCAAACAGGAUUAGAUACCCUAGUAGUC
rnacentral:rRNA from 1 species